ACCAGGUUUUUCACGUCUACAACAAGUAGCUUGACUGGAAGGCUAGAAACAAAAUGCGAUUCAAUUAUGGUGUGUGUCAUAAGUAUAAUAUGUGAAGCUGGUUGCAUUUUUGAGAUUGAACAACACCUGCCUCAUGUUUGUAUGGAAUGAGGACAACAUACUUUGAAUAAACAGGUUGCUCUCAGAGUGUAAAGAUUCAAUGUUGAUGCAUUAAGUCCAGCACACAUGUCACACUCAUGUCAGCACCAGAACAGGAAUUAGUCCUCAGCCAAGGUACGUGUUUUACCUAUGCCCCUCUAUGUAUUCAUUGUAGCAUAGGUAUGCUCCUAAAUAUAUUUGUCCUGUCAUGUGCUCCUGCAAUUUAAAUUUAUGAAAUUAAUCAUGGUAUCGAUCUGAAGCGGUACCAGAUAUUCACACUAUUCAUAAUGUUCUCAUUAAUAG